UACGGAGGGUGCAAGCGUUAUCCGGAUUCACUGGGUUUAAAGGGCGCGUAGGCGGCCCUCUAAGUUAGACGUGAAAUCCCACGGCUUAACCGUGGAACUGCGUCUGAUACUGGAGGGCUUGAAUCCGGGAGAGGGAUGUGGAAUUCUCGGUGUAGCGGUGAAAUGCGUAGAUAUCGAGAGGAACACCUGCGGCGAAGGCGGGUUGCUGGGCUGAUACUGACGCUGAGGCGCGAAAGCCAGGGGAGCGAACGGG
rnacentral:rRNA from 1 species